GACGAACGCUGGCGGCGUGCCUAAUACAUGCAAGUAGAACGUGUGGCGAACGGGUGGGUAAGAUAUCGGAACGUGCCCAGGAGCGGGGGAUAAUUACGCGACAGCGUAGCUAAUACCACAUACUAUUGGAGAGGUCGCAGUCGGAUUAGCUAGUUGGUGGGGUAACGGCUCACAAAGGCGACGAUCCAUAGUUGGUUUGAGAGGACGACCAGCCACACUGGGACUGAGACACGGCCCAGACUCCUACGGGAGGCAGCAGUGGGGAAUUUUGGGCAAUGGGGGAAAGCCUGAUCCAGCCAUCCCGCGUGUGCGAUGAAGGCCUUCGGGUUGUAAAGCACUGUUGGCAGGAAAGCGGUACCUGCAGAAUAAGCACCGGCUAACUACGUGCCAGCCGCCGCGGUAAUUC
rnacentral:rRNA from 1 species